CCUACGGGUGGCUGCAGUGGGGAAUAUUGCGCAAUGGGGGAAACCCUGACGCAGCAACGCCGCGUGAGCGAAGAAGGCCUUCGGGUCGUAAAGCUCUGUCAUCAGGGACGAAGUAAGUGACGGUACCUGAGGAGGAAGCCCCGGCUAACUACGUGCCAGCAGCCGCGGUAAUACGUAGGUGGCGAGCGCUGUCCGGAAUUACUGGGUGUAAAGGGCGUGUAGGCGGGGGAGCAAGUCAGAUGUGAAAUCCCGGGGCUCAACUCCGGAGUUGCAUCUGAAACUGUUUUUCUUGAGUGCUGGAGAGGAAAGCGGAAUUCCUAGUGUAGCGGUGAAAUGCGUAGAUAUUAGGAGGAACACCAGUGGCGAAGGCGGCUUUCUGGACAGUAACUGACGCUGGGGCGCGAAAGCGUGGGGAGCAAACAGGAUUAGAUACCCUAGUAG
rnacentral:rRNA from 1 species